UACGUAGGGGCCUAGCGUUGUCCGGAAUUACUGGGCGUAAAGCGCACGUAGGCGGACUGUUAAGUCGGGGGUGAAAUCCUGGGGCUCAACCUCAGAAUUGCCUCCGAUACUGGCAGUCUCGAGUGCGGGAGAGGUGAGUGGAAUUCCCAGUGUAGAGGUGAAAUUCGUAGAUAUUGGGAAGAACACCAGUGGCGAAGGCGGCUCACUGGCCCGUAACUGACGCUGAGGUGCGAAAGCGUGGGGAGCAAACAGG
rnacentral:rRNA from 1 species